rnacentral:misc_RNA from 1 species
AAUUCUCAACCCCGAUCGGAUUUGCUUUCGAUUCGGAGGCUUGGAUUGUGGAGCGUGCUGGCCCCUACCCGGGUCGGCUCCUCUUAAAUGCAUUCGCGGAAUUGACUUUGGUCCGUUUCGGUCAUCAGUGUGAUAAUCAUGUUGCGCUGUUGGCUAGGAUUGAGGUGCCGCAUACAAUGGUCUUCGGACAGCUUCAUAUCA